AAAGACAAUCAAUGAAAGUUAUAGAGCAGCUCCCCAACAUAAGAGAAUUUUCCUAGGGUUGAAUUCAAACAAUGUUUUUAAAGAGAGCUUCUUGGAUGUUCACUUUAAGAAACAGAUUAAUGAUGAGUUACAGGAAUUCUCUCCUGGACUUACAUGAACAAGUUCCAGCUCAGUGUCUCAUCCUAUGCAGGUUUAUAAUGGAAAGUCUAACAGAUGAGCUGUGCAGCUCACACUAUGCAAGUAGAACUACUAUGAAUAAGUGUGGCUGAUCAGCACUGUACCUUUCCCUAUUGUUCGUUUUAAAGAAAGAUGAAUUUUUAUUUCCAUUCCACUAUUUCUGCAAUAGUAUGUAAGAUUGCACAACCACAUUACACCUUGUGUAAAUAUACACAUUGCAAAAUCUUUCAACUGCCUGCAGGGGCUGUGACUCACUGAUUAGGCAAUGCAGUGUGCUGGGGUGACUGCUGCAUGGUUAGCAGUUAAACUUUCAGCUUGUCUCUUACCCAACUAACUGCACACACAUUUGCCUACUUUGGAAUUUCACCACCUCUGUGCCUUGAGUAUUCCUAAAAGGUUCUGUUAGUUCUCUGAGGGCAAUAAUGAAAACUGCACUGCAGAAUAAUACUUGGGUAGGGUGGCUGUACUUAACUAAUUUCUCAGACGUUUAAGUUCAGAGAAUUCAAAAUGCAUCAGCUUUGGCUUUGAAGGAAGAAAGAACAGCAGCAUAAAAUGGCUUGUUGUCACCAUUUGUAGUUUCACACACAAUGUGGUGAAAGGAGGGCUAUGGGGGCGGGGGAGGAGGAUCUCUCUUUUGCUGUGGCCUGUCAGACUAGGGAGCUGGAGAACAUAAAUAGCACUAAGUUCUAGGUGGUGAAAACGAGCAUUGCUGAAAACCUGCAACAUUUGUUCCCCUAAAUUCCUUAUCUUAUUUGCAUUUCCCUUUAGAGUGAAGACUUUUGGUUGGGCCAAAGUUAACCACAGAACAAUUGACACUCCCUCCCGCAAUGAUUUACAAAAAAACUUCUCUACAAACUUUUAAAG